rnacentral:rRNA from 1 species
UGGCGGACGGGUGAGUAACGCGUGGGUAACCUGCCUCAUACAGGGGGAUAACAGUUAGAAAUGACUGCUAAUACCGCAUAAGACCGCAGUACCGCAUGGUACGGGGGUAAAAACUCCGGUGGUAUGAGAUGGACCCGCGUCUGAUUAGGUAGUUGGUGGGGUAACGGCCCACCAAGGCGACGAUCAGUAGCCGACCUGAGAGGGUGAUCGGCCACAUUGGGACUGAGACACGGCCCAA